UUACCGAGUUUACNACUCCCAAACCCAUGUGAACAUACCUGUCUUGUUGCUUCGGCGGCGCCCACGGCCCUCACGGGCUUGGGGCCCGCCAGAGGACCCAAACAAAACUCUUUGCAUUUUGAAUACAGUAUUCUGAGUGACAUGAUUAAAUAAAAUCAAAACUUUCAACAACGGAUCUCUUGGCUCUGGCAUCGAUGAAGAACGCAGCGAAAUGCGAUAAGUAAUGUGAAUUGCAGAAUCCAGUGAAUCAUCGAAUCUUUGAACGCACAUUGCGCCCGCCAGUAUUCUGGCGGGCAUGCCUGUUCGAGCGUCAUUUCAACCCUCAAGCUCUGCUUGGCGUUGGGGAUCGGCAGCCCGGCUUCGCGCCGCGCCGUCCCCCAAAUACAGUGGCGGUCUCGCUGCAGCUUCCUUUGCGUAGUAGCACACCUCGCACCGGAGAGCAGCGCGGCCACGCCGUAAAACCCCCGACUUCUUGUUUUUGACCUCGAAUCAGGUAGGACUACCCGCUGAACUUAAGCAUAUCAAUAAGCGGAGGAAAAGAAACCAACAGGGAUUGCCCUAGUAACGGCGAGUGAAGCGGCAACAGCUCAAAUUUGAAAUCUGGCCUUCGGGUCCGAGUUGUAAUUUGCAGAGGAUGCUUUUGGUGAGGUGCCUUCCGAGUUCCCUGGAACGGGACGCCAUAGAGGGUGAGAGCCCCGUCUGGUCGGACACCAAUCCUUUGUAAAGCUCCUUCGACGAGUCGAGUAGUUUGGGAAUGCUGCUCUAAAUGGGAGGUAUAUGUCUUCUAAAGCUAAAUACCGGCCAGAGACCGAUAGCGCACAAGUAGAGUGAUCGAAAGAUGAAAAGCACUUUGAAAAGAGAGUUAAACAGUACGUGAAAUUGUUGAAAGGGAAGCGCUCAUGACCAGACUUGGGCUUGGUUGAUCAACUUGGGUUCUCCCGGGUGCACUCUUCCUCGUCCAGGCCAGCAUCAGUUCGCUGCGGGGGAUAAAGGUUUCGGGAAUGUGGCUCCCUCGGGAGUGUUAUAGCCCGUUGCGUAAUACCCUGCGGUGGACUGAG
rnacentral:rRNA from 1 species